rnacentral:lncRNA from 1 species
AUACACAAUGGAAUAUUACUCAGCAAUAAAAGAGAAUAAAAUCAUGGCAUUUGCAGGUAAAUGGACGGAGUUAGAGAAGAUAAUGCUAAGUGAAGUUAGCCUAUCCCGAAAAACCAAAUGCCGAAUGUUUUCUUUAAUAUAAGGCUGAUGAUUCAUAGUGGGGUAGGGAGCAGGAGCAUGGGAGGAAUAAACAAACUCUAGAUAGGCCAGAGGGGUUGGAGGGGAAGGGAGGGGGCAUGGGGUAAUUAAUGAUAGUGGAAUGUGAUGAUCAUUACUAUCCAAAGUUCAUGUAUGAAGACAUGAAAAAAAUAAAAAAAUUUUAGUCUUAAAAAAAAAAAAAAGACUAGCUUGGUUGCCAGCCUGUGGUGCCACUGGGAGACAGUGGCAUUUAGGUGGUGGAGCCCAGUGGAAGGAAGUCAUGGGGAUUGUGAAUUCUUGAAGGGGAUAUUGGAAUCCUGGUCCUUUCUUGUCUCUCUCAUUGCUUUCUGACUGCUAUUGCCUUCUAGGCCUCCUCUGCUACAUGCUCCUGCCAUGUUGUACUGUGAUGCUAUAGGCCCAAAGCAAUAGUGAUCAUGGACCUAAACUGAAACUGUGAGCCAAAAUAAAUCUUUCAUCCUUAUAUUUGAUUAAAAUCAAGUAUUAUGUAAUAGUGACAGAAAGGUGAGUAGACCUUUUAUUAAUUUUUAUUUGUUAAUCUUUAUGAAGGUUAAUUUAUAUUUUUUAUUGAUUACCUUUUAUUCAGUUUAAUUCUCUACUUUUUAAAAAAAUUCCAAAUGUUUACUCCUAUUUUACAAGUUAUGAUAAAGUGAAUAUAAAAAUUUUAAAUUUUCUCUGCAUUAAAGCAUAGGUUGUCCAUUGGUGUUCAAAUAUUCUUUCAAUUUUUAAUUUCAAUUCCUAGAUCAUCAGAGAUAUUACUUAAUUCUGUUUAUUUCACUUAUUGUAGUUAUGUGGACUGAAUUGUGUGUCCCUCCCAUCCAUAUGUUGAAUACCUAAUCCCAAUGUAACUGUAUUUGGAGGAAGGGCUUAUAAUGAUAUAAUAAAGGUUUAGAGGGUUCCUAAGGGUGGACUUUUCAUCUGAUAGGACUGUUACUAUAUAAGAAGAGGAAAAGACACUAGACGGUCUCUUUUUCUCUCCACAGGUGCACAGAAGGUCAAUUGAAG